CCCAAAUGGCACCCAAUGUUAUGGGCCCUGGUCUAAAGUAGUGCACUAUAACGGGAAUAGGGUGCCAUUUGGGAUGAUUCGUUGGUGAAUGUGCGCUGUCCCUGUCAAAUCAAUUUCCCAAAUAAACAGGUAGACCUGGAGCUGAUGCCAUGCUGUCUAUCUAACUAAAUAAACAGGUAGACCUGGAGCUGAUGCCAUGCUGUCUAUCUAACUAAAUAAACAGGUAGACCUGGAGCUGAUGCCAUGCUGUCUAUCUAACUAAAUAAACAGGUAGACCUGGAGCUGAUGCCUUGCUGUCUAUCUAACUAAAUAAACAGGUAGACCUGGAGCUGAUGCCAUGCUGUCUAUCUAACUAAAUAAACAGGUAGACCUGGAGCUGAUGCCAUGCUGUCUAUCUAACUAAAUAAACAGGUAGACCUGGAGCUGAUGCCAUGCUGUCUAUCUAACUAAAUAAACAGGUAGACCUGGAGCUGAUGCCAUGCUGUCUAUCUAACUAAAUAAACAGGUAGACCUGGAGCUGAUGCCUUGCUGUCUAUCUAACUAAAUAAACAGGUAGACCUGGAGCUGAUGCCAUGCUGUCUAUCUAACUAAAUAAACAGGUAGACCUGGAGC